UGGCCUUUCCUGUGAGAAUUUUAAUACCUCUGUUUCGAAUAAGCUUGGAAGUUUAUGCAACGGCUUCUCCAUCUGACGUUCCCGUCUCGUGGACUGGGAAGAAAGCUGAUUUUGCCAUGUUAUUUCAUAAAAGACUCUGCAGUAAAAUGUCCUUCUCUUAUUGAUGAGGGUUUCUGUGUUCAUGGCACCCUGGGGGCCGUUAUGAGAAGCGGUGGGAAGCAGCAAGGGGAAGGGAAUGUACAGGUACUAAAACUUCUGAAUUCCCCAAAAAUGUCACAGAAUGUAGAGGUAUCAACCGUGGAACAGAUCUGAUUCCUUCUGCCCCCCUCCUUAAAAUAAACACAUGCCAGUUUUAGGAGAUUUGUGUCUUGGCAGGAAUGAUGAAUUGGUUUGUAUCCGUACCCAUUCCACCCUACCAUUCUCUGGCUCCUCCCCUCCCCGUUAUACUUGACACACUGGAGUUCUGUAUUAUAUUUUUUUUUAAGAUGACUGUCUGUUUUUUGUUGUUUUUACAAGUGUUGUGGAAAAAAAUGUAAGAAAGUUUAAGUAUUUAAAAAUGUUCCAAGGAAAAAGGGGGUUUUGUUAUUAUUCUAAUAUAUUAUUGUGUACCUAUUGUAAAUAUGAAACACUCCUAUUUUGCAAGCCAAGGACUCACUUUGUACUGUUGUUAUAUAUAAAUAAAGUUUACUGGUUAAAAAAGCC